CGAAACCGAUAGCGAACAAGUACCGUGAGGGAAAGUUGAAAAGUACUCUGAAUAGAGAGUUAAAUAGUACGUGAAACCGCUUAGGGGUUAAGCCCGAUGAACCCGAAUAUCUGAUGUGAGAAAUUCAAUACUGUUUAUUCAACGGAUAGUAUGCACUUUUCUCAUAGUAAGACAUUGUAAUCCAUUGAUGCUAUAUCUCUUUCAUUUACGGGAGAGAUGAUUUAACAUACGGACAAGAUGUAUAUGAUUAUUCUAUCAGUGAUGUGUUAACAUGUCAUAUGAAUAAGAUCGUUUUGUACCUGUUUAAAUAGUCGAUGGAUUUUAACUGAAUCAUGCUUGCAAUUUAUUUUGCGUUUCGUGUUAUCGACCACUAGUUGGUUGGUAAAAGCAGAAAUGGCAUGCAUUCGAUUAACAAUGCGAUAGAUUUGGGAUACUUUCAGGACCCGUCUUGA
rnacentral:rRNA from 1 species